AGGUUGGGAAUGCACUGGAUGCUGAAGAAAUGCUGAGAAGACUACUCAUCUGUGGCAUUUCUGAGUAUCUACAGAUCUAAGGAUCCACAGUGAAGUAAGAGGAAGCCAAUAUUCAGAUCUUUCAAGAAUUUCCUCUGAAUAAGAACUUCAGCAUGGAGCUGAAGAAGAGGCAGUCAAGGAGACUUCAUAUGUAUUGGUGGUCUGUGUUACAGAAACACAACCGCUGGUUUGGACAGGGAAGCAAGAGUUCAGCACAAACUUCCUGGCCAAGAACAGCUGUGGGAAUUCACUACCAGGUCAGAUUAAACCGGGGCUGGGAGGACACACGGGACUUUCUUUUCUUAUACUUUUGCAUCAAUUAAGUCACUCAGUGAUCUAGAUUGUACUUCCAUAUGGUUUUUAUUUGAUUACUGUGUGAAUUCUCAUUGCUUACUUUGCUUUUAUGUUUUUCCUGAUACUUACCAAAAGCUCUAAACCCAAAUAAAUGACAGGUUCAGUAAAAACUCAAUCUUGCUUUUGUGCUGCAAAAACCCAUUCAAGGCUUCA